rnacentral:rRNA from 1 species
AAGCUCGUAGUUGAAUUUCGGGAUCAAAUUGUCGGUCGUGCCUCGGUACGUACUGGCGUUAUUGGUUCCUCCCUUCUGAAGAACCACGAUGUCAUUAAUUUGGUGUCGCGGGGAAUCAGGACUGUUACUUUGAAAAAAUUAGAGUGUUUAAAGCAGGCUCGCGCUUGAAUACAUUAGCAUGGAAUUAUGAAAUAGGACGUUUGAUUCUAUUUUGUUGGUUUCUAGGAUCGACGUAAUGAUUAAUAGGGACAGUUGGGGGCAUUAGUAUUCAAUUGUCAGAGGUGAAAUUCUUGGAUUUAUUGAAGACUAACUACUGCGAAAGCAUUUGCCAAGGAUGUUUUCAUUAAUCAAGAACGAAAGUUAGGGGAUCGAAGACGAUCAGAUACCGUCGUAGUCUUAACCAUAAACUAUGCCGACUAGGGAUCGGAUGAUGUUAAUUUUUUAAUGACUCAUUCGGCGCCUUACGGGAAACCAAAGUGUUUGGGUUCCGGGGGGAGUAUGGUCGCAAGGCCGAAACUUAAAGGAAUUGACGGAAGGGCACCACCAGGGGUGGAGCCUGCGGCUUAAUUUGACUCAACACGGGGAAACUCACCAGGUCCAGACAUAGUAAGGAUUGACAGAUUGAGAGCUCUUUCUUGAUUCUAUGGGUG